rnacentral:rRNA from 1 species
AAUGAUGAAUGUCAUAGAUUAGACAUAUAAUAGUUUAUUCUAUAAAUGAAAGUGUAAGCAUUCCACCUCAAGAGUAAUUUGGCAACAUUGGAACUGAAAUCAUUAGACCGUUUCUGAAACCAGUAGUGAAGUAUGUUGUUUAAUUUGAUAAUCCGCAAAAAACCUUACCACAAUUUGAAUAUUUAUAUCAUUUUUCUGAUCUAUUCAAUGAAAAGAAAAAAAUGUAUUUACAAGCGUUGCACGGCUGUCUUCAGUUAAUGUCGUGAGACUUUGGUUAGUUCCAUUAAAUUAACGUAAACCCUCACUUUAUUUUUAUAUAAAGUAGUUCCCCACUAAAUUGGAUAAGAUAACAGGGACUAAGACAAGUCAUCAUGGCCUGAAUAUUGUGGGCUAUA